GUUUUAUCGCUAUUUUGCAAACAAGGAAAUCAUUGUAUAUUCUUGAUAUUUUCUUAUAUGACACGUUUACACAAAAAGACUUUCUUUUUAAAACAUUGAUAAGAAUAAUGGCAACUAAAUUAGGAGGGAUAUUCUCAGUGAUCCUCUUAGUCCUCUGUAAAAAUUUACUUUCAAAGACACCUGGAACAGAUUACCACUAUAAAUGUACCGAGUGUACAUGUUUACUGGGUUCAUCUGUAUGCAAAAGCUGUACCUAUAACGAUGAAGGAG